GAUUUAAUCUCAAUUAAAUUGCGAUCGAACGGUCCAUAUUUAAUCUAAAUGGACGGUUGAGAUUAAAAGGCAAAGGGUAUAAAUAACCCCACCCACACCUGACCACAAAAACCCUUGUCGCCAGUGCCUCGCCGGAGAAGAAGAACCAGACGCCGGAGGAGCCGGCUGCAGCUGCACCGGGGAAGUUUCUGACCGUCGAUUGAGGUAGAUUUUCUCCCCCUUGCUCGUUUUUCGAUGUUGAGUUCGCCUAUGGCCAAACC
rnacentral:lncRNA from 1 species